UUCAACAUCUUUGUACCUGUUU
rnacentral:miRNA from 1 species